rnacentral:rRNA from 1 species
GACGAACGCUGGCGGCGUGCCUAAUACAUGCAAGUAGAACGCUGAAGGAGGAGCUUGCUUCUCUGGAUGAGUUGCGAACGGGUGAGUAACGCGUAGGUAACCUGCCUGGUAGCGGGGGAUAACUAUUGGAAACGAUAGCUAAUACCGCAUAAGAGUAGAUGUUGCAUGACAUUUGCUUAAAAGGUGCAAUUGCAUCACUACCAGAUGGACCUGCGUUGUAUUAGCUAGUUGGUGGGGUAACGGCUCACCAAGGCGACGAUACAUAGCCGACCUGAGAGGGUGAUCGGCCACCCUGGGACUGAGACACGGCCCAGACUCCUACGGGAGGCAGCAGUAGGGAAUCUUCGGCAAUGGACGGAAGUCUGACCGAGCAACGCCGCGUGAGUGAAGAAGGUUGUCGGAUCGUAAAGCUCUGUUGUAAGAGAAGAACGAGUGUGAGAGUGGAAAGUUCACACUGUGACGGUAUCUGACCAGAAAGGGACGGCUAACUACGUG